AUGUUACUAGAUUUUAACCCGCGGUAUACCGGGGGACGAUUUCUUUUUUUUAAAAGCAAUAUAUAUUAAAAUUUGCAAAUUUUAUUUUUAUAAAAUAUUUAUAUUUUACAGUUUAUAAUUGUUAUUAAGUAACGCUAUACCACGAAUCCAUGAGACAAUUGUUAAAAAACUGAAGUUGUAAUCCCUAUUAACACAACAUAUUAAUAAUAUUUUA
rnacentral:sRNA from 1 species